rnacentral:rRNA from 1 species
GUCGAGAAUCUUUCACAAUGGGGGCAACCCUGAUGGAGCGACGCCGCGUGGAGGAUAAGGUCUUCGGAUUGUAAACUCCUGUCAUGCGUGAACAAGGUUGCUUGGUUAAUACCUGGGCAAAUUGAUGGUAACGCAAGAGGAAGAGACGGCUAACUCUGUGCCAGCAGCCGCGGUAAUACAGAGGUCUCAAGCGUUGUUCGGAAUCACUGGGCGUAAAGGGUGCGUAGGUGGCGUGGUAAGUCAGAUGUGAAAGCCCGGGGCUCAACCUCGGAACUGCAUCCGAUACUGCCAUGCUAGAGUACUGGAGAGGUGACUAGAAUUCUCGGUGUAGCAGUGAAAUGCGUAGAUAUCGAGAGGAAUACCAAAGGCGUAGGCAGGUCACUGGACAGUUACUGACACUGAGGCACGAAGGCCAGGGGAGCGAACGGGAUUAGAUACCCGGGUGUCC